rnacentral:rRNA from 1 species
CCUACGGGUGGCAGCAGUGGGGAAUAUUGGGCAAUGGGCGCAAGCCUGACCCAGCAACGCCGCGUGAUGGAAGAAGGCUUUCGGGUUGUAAACUUCGUCUCUCAGGGACGAAGCUAGUGAUGGUACCUGAGGAAUAAGCCACUGCCAACUACGUGCCAGCAGCCGCGGUAAUACGUAUGUGGCAAGCGUCAUCCGGAUUUACUGGGUGUAAAGGGCGUGUAGGCGGGACUGCAAGUCAGAUGUGAAAACCACGGGCUCAACGUGUGGACGGCAUUUGAAACUGUAGUUCUUGAAUACUGGAGAGGCAGACGGAAGUCCGGGUGUAGCGGUGAAAUGCGUAGAUAUUAGGAGGAACACCAGUGGCGUAGGCGCUGUGCUGGACAGCAACUGACGCUGAGGCGCGAAAGCGAGGGGAGCAAACAGGAUUAGAUACCCGGGUAGUC